rnacentral:lncRNA from 1 species
UAUGCGGAAUUUAAAAAUAUGUUGCAAGAAUAAAAAAUACUGCAGGAAUUUAACAAGUGCAGGAAAGUAAAGGAGGCAGAGAUGUAUACUGGUUUACCACACCUUGUGGCUAGUCCAGUCCCCGAGAGACUCUCUCGAGAUUUCCACUAACAACCCUGUCGAGCUUACGGGUGCUCAACAAACCUUUACACUUGAGACUUGAAUCGAACAAGUCUCAAAUACCUGCUUGAGGAUACCUCACCUCAAGACUUCCCUGUUAAGCUUCCGGGUGCCUAACGAACCUUUACAAAAUGAGAACUUGAUACAACACAAGCCUCAAACAACCUACUUAAGGACAUCUAUCCCUAAGACUUCCCAAGAAGAAUUACACUAAUCCCUCUUGCUACAAGUGCUCACAAAGANNN